rnacentral:lncRNA from 1 species
AAGAAACGAAGGUAAGGGGGGAGUUUGCUUACAAAGUGGAAUCGUGAAAGGCUCCGAGGAUUGUCAUGAAUUUAAGGGAAGAAAGGGAGAUUGGGAAGCGAGUUUCAUGGCCAUCGUUAAUGAGUUCGUUGAAACAGGCAUACAGUGUGUUAAGUACUUCCAUUAACUGCAAACAUUAAUUGCACUCUUUAGGCUUUAGCUUAAAAUCUUUCACGGGAACUUUGACACUUUCUUUUUUUUCGCAGAAUUUGUUCCGACCAAUCAACAAUUCCAAACUGGAAAGUUGUGGGUUAUUAUUACGCUGUACUGUGUAGUGAAAGAGAGGGUGGAGGUUGUAUAAAAAAUAAAAAAUAAAAGUGGGUGGAGGUGCCUUGCUGUAAAUGUAAU